AGGACAAGUACCAUCAUGUACAUAGGUUGCGGAGCUGAGCUCGGCGCCUUUGAUGUGCUGCGGAGGAGACAGUGAAGCUGCAAGCCAUGGAGAUGUAGACGGAGGCAUAGGGGAGCUGUUGGAAAGACGUAGCUUCAGAUCUGCAAUCCCUAAAUUAGCGGGCAAAGGUGGCUCCAUCUUUGAUAUUGGGCUCUCAGAAGCCAAAUAGAUUAUGUUGGACUCAAACGUUUUUGAAACCCAAGCCCAAGAAGAGGCACUCGGCCCAUCUAUGGAAGCACGCUCAAUCUCAAUCGGAGUGAGAGGCCUGGGUUUUUUGCCGGCGUAGAGGCA
rnacentral:lncRNA from 1 species